CAAUAGCGUAUAUUAAAGUUGUUGCAGUUAGAACGCUCGUAGUCGGAUUUCGGGGCGGGCCGACCGGUCUGCCGAUGGGUACGCACUGGUCGGCGCGUCCUUCCUUCCGGAGACCGUGCCUACUCUUAACUGAGCGGGGGCGGGAGACGGAUCGUUUACUUUGAAAAAAUCAGAGUGUUUCAAGCAGGCAGCUCGCUCUUGCAUGGAUUAGCAUGGGAUAAUGAAAUAGGACUUUGGUGCUAUUUUGUUGGUUUCGAACACCGAAGUAAUGAUGAGAAGGGACAGUCAGGGGCACUCGUAUUCCGCCGAGAGAGGUGAAAUUCUCAGACCAGCGGAAGACGAACCACUGCGAAAGCAUUUGCCAGGGAUGUUUUCACUGA
rnacentral:rRNA from 1 species